GGAGCCUGGGCUGUCCUUUGUUGGAGGGCACGAUGCACCAUAGAUUUUUAUUUUCACGAAACAGACUCCAGAGGUUUGUGGCCUUCCAGACAACAGCUGGCACCGGGCAGAGGCACAGCCUACGGCCUGAGCUGCUGGCGACUGCAUCGCGCUUGGCCGUGCGUCCCAGGCUGCGCUGGCCAGCACCGCAGCCAGAGAGCUUCCCGCUCCGAGCAGGAGCGGACGCUGUUCGUCUCUGGAGGGGCCAUGGUGCUCGCGACUGGCUGUUCCUCCUUAUAUUUGGGGGAAAGGAGCUGGUUUGAAGGAAAGGAGGGAUUAAGUUUGUAAAAGCGUUGGCUCCUCCUUAUAACUCUGGUGCCUAAAGGGGGUGAGAUGAUAGCCAAAUAAAACGAAGAGAGAUGACCCCGUUUUGAGUGAGGAGGAUUUCUGGAUGAGCCGGCGAUAUGUCCUGCAACUGUCGAUUUGGCAGAUUUGACUCAAUCAACUGACAAUUGGUUCCCACUUCAAACACACCUCCCUCAGCCUAGUGCUCUAACCGACUCCCCAGACUCGGGGUGGGGACCAAGCAGAACAAGAGAAUCAAAAGUCAGCCUUCUUUUGGUCUCUGCUCGUGCACAACUGGUUUGGUUCUGAGCAGGCUGAUGUUUGAGAGGAAAAGCCAGGACUGCUUGGGCUCUUUGGCGGGAUUUGAGUGUGUAUGCUGGGAGGGGGGCGGGUAGGAAGAGGUGGGAGCAGAGUUAGGCUGAGUACUGAGCGAAGCCCCUUAUUUUGCGUCCCAGCUGCCCUUCCAGCCCCCAGCGCCCAGCCCCCGCCGCGGCUGGGUGAAGAGGAGGGGUCGAG
rnacentral:lncRNA from 1 species